AACGAACGCUGGCGGCAUGCCUAACACAUGCAAGUCGAACGAGACCUUCGGGUCUAGUGGCGCACGGGUGCGUAACGCGUGGGAACCUGCCCUUAGGUUCGGAAUAACUCCCCGAAAGGGGUGCUAAUACCGGAUAAUGUCUUCGGACCAAAGAUUUAUCGCCUUUGGAUGGGCCCGCGUUGGAUUAGCUAGUUGGUAGUGUAAAAGCCUACCAAGGCGACGAUCCAUAGCUGGUCUGAGAGGAUGAUCAGCCACACUGGGACUGAGACACGGCCCAGACUCCUACGGGAGGCAGCAGUGGGGAAUAUUGGACAAUGGGCGAAAGCCUGAUCCAGCAAUGCCGCGGGAGUGAUGAAGGCCUUAGGGUUGUAAAGCUCUUUUACCCGGGAUGAUAAUGACAGUACCGGGAGAAUAAGCGCCGGCUAACUCCGUG
rnacentral:rRNA from 1 species